ensembl:lncRNA
CGACAGUUAGCCUGCAGUCUGCUGAGACCUACAGGACAUAGAAUGGCACAUUUGCGUUCUCUGAAACCACUAAGUUUGUGACAACAGAAAACUAAUACAGGGGCAGAGAGGAAAGCAGAGUCUGUGACCUGAUUGGCUCCUGGUCUGAGCCCUGUGGCAGGAGGGCUCUGGGCAGAGAGUGACACAGCAGUUAUCAAGUGAGAUCCUGCAUGGCACCCGUAGGGGACAGACAUCUUGCCCAUUUCGAGAAGGAGCAUAGAGAGAAAUGAGGGAACCCCGCACACUCGGGCCCUCCGGAGUUUGUCUGGAACAUUCUCCCAGAGCUUACCUGCAACAAUGGUGAAACAGGAUGCUUGCCCUCCACAGCUCUGUGAACAGAGUGUCAAUGAGGAGAGCCCGUGUGAGAUGCCCAGGGGGCCCCAAAUACAAGCCAUAGAAUUUGAGCAUCUGUGACAGAGUGAACUCAUUUAGCAGGCUGAUAAUGUCUGGGGAAAUUCAAGCUAAGCAAAGUUUUAACCUCCCUGAGCCUCGAUUUCUUCAUCUGUAAAAUGAGGGAAACAAUAGCUACCCCAAAGAGUUGUUGUGGGGCUGAAUUAAAUCACGUGAGCAAGUGCCUUCUGUUCCCGGAUGACGGCAGCCGCUUACUCCCUUCCUCCGGCUCUUCUCCCUUCCUGUCCUCUGACUCUGCUUUAUUCUGCUGUGGCACCACUCUGCCUGUCUGCUACAGGUCUUAUCUCAAAGCUUCACAGCCUACCUUUGGUGUCCAACGUGGAGCCAUGCCAGCCUCUUGGACCCAUGUGGCAAGUCACCUUUGCUGGUUCACCUUGGCCACCCCAGCCUGCAGGAUGGGUCUGAAAGAGGAGGGACGGUUGCUAACCAGGACGGAGGAUGCGGGAGAUUCCUGGAAGUGAGACGAGCCUACUGGAGCGAGUCCAAGACUGCUCAGCCAAGGGGGCACGCAAGUUCUCCCAGGUUCUAUUCCGUGGCUCCAUGCAGAUGCAUCUGCCUUCCCACCAGCGGUGUUAAUUAAGCAGCGUCCAUGGGCCCAUAACACCUAGGCAUCGAGCAGACCCAGCGGAACGCAACUCCAAUGACUGAAUUCCUCUCCCAUCACGUGACACGGGCCUUCAUCUCGCAGCUCCCUUGCCCUCCAGAUCCCGGAGAAGUUUGGUUAAGUUUGGUGGCAGGAGGACAGGAAGAGCCAGACUACUUGUCCCCUCUCUCCUUCUGGGGGAGCCUCCAGUCGCAGCUAUGCUUUCUGAUGGCUCCAGCUCUAGGCGGAGAUGCCAGCCGCAACUGAAGUUUCCACCAAGUGGCCGGAUCCUGGACUGCUAUUGAUCUCCUCUGUGACGUCCCAGCCCUGGGGACAGCAGCAGCUGCCCUCUGUUGCUGAUCUCCACAUUGUCUGCCCUCCCUGUCUGGAGACUCUGCCUUUCCAGUACCUGUUUAAGUGAUUUCCUGUAUUACAUGUCCCCUGUUUGGAACAUCUAGAGUGGUUUCUGUUUUCCCGACGAGACUUGAACUGAGAAGCAUGUUUACUGUUUAUUCUUCCAGUUUCUCUGAGCCCCUUGCACUUCUUCUUCCUUCAGCCUUUGCUUAUUUCCUUCUGAGAAGAGAAAACGCUGGAAUGAGAGCUAACCCUCCUCACCUGUUCACACCAUGGAGUGGGCGUCUGCUAAGCUUGUCAUAAACGAGAAAGAAUACUGUGAUUUCCUGCUGCAGGGCCACAGUAGGGAAUGUCAUCACUUCCCAACUUGGAUUUAUAUUUCUUCCUUCCUGUUUUCUUUUUCUUGUGAGGAAGAUUAGCCCUGAGCUAACAUCUGUGCCCAUCUUCCUCUAUUUUGUAUGUGGGAUGCCGCCACAGCAUGGCUCGAUGAAUGGUGCAUAGGUCUGCACCAGGGAUCCCAACUUGAGAACCCUGGCCUGCCAAAGCUGAGCGUGUGAAUUUAACCACUACACCACUGGGCUGGUCCCUUAUAUUUCUUUCUUGAUAGUGGUACCCAGAUAUCUGGUCCCUACCAACCGAUGACUUCAAAAUAAAACCUCAUUUCAACACAUAACUGGAUAUUAAUGUCAUGAGAGAUCCCUAAAUGUCUAAUUACUGGAAAGUGGUCCCCUCACAUUACUUCUAAGUUACAUUGACAGAUGUCCAAGGUUGCUGCCUCCCGUGCUCAGGAGUGGGCCCUCCGAUCUUCUUUAUGGUCUCCUUGUCCUGCUGACUCCUGCUGCCUCUGCGCCAGUGCCUCCUGAGACCGCUGCCUCACGGCCCCGGGUGGGCUCUGCUGUGGAUGCCCGCGCAGCCUCUUCCAUGGUCUGCUUCAACUGUGCAAUGCCCUUGUCCUUAAUUCUCCAAAGCAGAGCAGAGACUAGGCAGUGACUUUUAAUAGAGACUUCUAGAAAUUCGGGAGAUAAUGGAAGGGAAAAAGAUCACAAGAAAUGCUUAGUAUUGCUACCAAUGUUACCACAUUCGGAGCCCACCAGCUGGGCUCUCUUUGCCUCCGAGACCAAGCCAAAUUGGAAGAAGCUCCCACAAAGAAAUGAUGCAAUUCUUCAUUUGCUGUCCCCAGAUCUGCAUCUCCCUGUUCCAUUUGACAGUGGGACUCCACACACACUUACUCACAGGGGUGUGGUCUAGCCCUGUCUUGCCCCAACAAGAUAAUUGUGCAAUCGUCCUGACAUAAAUACAUGUAUCAGGGUAUCAAUUCAUCAAUAUUGUCAGGUUACAGAAUGGAUAUCUAGCGAAUCCUGUUCCUCUGCACAGUCCUGAGGAUGAGCCUAGAGAUCUUCCUGGGUCUUUGAGGUUCUCUAUUCCUGUUAUCCUUGAACAGGAAAAGUGUGUGCAUGCACAUGCCUGUGCACGGAUGCACACACACACAGAGUCAUCUCUCUAAAGGCACGAGAAUGAACAAUAAUUUGUGUGCACGGUUUAGUCUAAAUGAAUAUUCACAAAAACCCAUUUUUUCAUAAGGAAAUAUUUUGCAGAGAUGCAGUUCUAGAACUCAGCUUACACUUUUAAAAACAUCUCUAAUAAUCGCCCAGAACAAUUUACCUCUUCAGAGCUAUAUUACCUUGAAUAUUUCCUUCUUAGAAGAGGGUCUUCUUUUUCCCCCAGGAAGCCACCUCUGUGAGCUUUUUAAUUACGCAAAUGUGAGCAAAAGAUGGUGAGCCUCAAAGGCAAAUUCUAAUAUUCAUUCUUGACAGCAGAAGCUACUAAUAACCUAAAUGAUAGGUGUUUUACAUUAUGAAAUAUCUGAAGAUACAGAAAAAAUAUAAUUAAUUGAUAAACAUUCUUUUAGCCAACCAUCAGAUUUAAGUAAUGCCAUAUACUAACACUUUUACAGAUUUGUUUCAUAUUUCUUAUUUUUUUAGAAAAUAAGACAUUCUAGAUAAAGUUCAAGCCCCUGGUUUAUUCCUUUUGGAUCUGUCUCUCAACUCACUCCUCCCUGAGACAUUGCCGUCAUCACGGUGGUUUAAGGUUUUCCUAUGCAUGUCUUUGAGUUUCCAGUAUACAAAAUCAGUAUACAGGAUAACUUUGUAUAUUUUUAAUCCAAUGGUUUCAGACAGAAUAUGCUAUUCUUCAAAUUUGUUUUUUUCCCCUCAAUAUUGUUUCAAUUUAAAUUGAUGUUAAUGUGUAUAAAUCUAGUGAUUAAACUAGUUCUUUUCUUAAAACUGCAAUAUUCCUUUCUACCUUAAGUAAGAUGACCUUACUCUCACCGUCAAGAUAGCAUAAUAGAGACUGGAUUAACCCUCCUGCCUAAAAUAGACAAAAAGUAGACAAAAUAUAUGAAAUGAUGAUUUUCAAGACUCUGGACAUCAGGCAAUGAAGGACAGUGAUCCUGUGAGAGAGUCAAUCAACAACUACCCAAUAUUCCAGCUGUGAGGGAGUUUCCAGGCUGUGGUACAGGAAGUGGGCAGCCCGGCAGAGCCUGAUGACUCCUUGAGUAGAGAAGACAGAGCCACAGAACAAGAAAAUCAUGGAGCCUGGAGCUCACAGGACGGAACGCCCGAGAGGAGAGGGCUUCACAGAGACAAAACUCUGGAGAUUUGCAAAGGGUCACCUUCAACGAUUCAGUUGAAUAUGAUUUGCAUAUGACUAGCAUUAAGAAUUUAAGGAUUCCUCCCUAGUCUGGAGAAAGAAUGACCCAAAAGGAUUAGGUAAUGGUGCCUGCUGCUGACAUAGUCUGAGAUUAGUUCCUGUUUUCACCAGCCAGACCGCAGAACUUCAUGACUCAUGGGACAUUUUGUGGGAGUGCACGGAAGAGCUCUGCCUUAAUUAGUGGGCAAUAAUUAGCACUAGAUUGAGCAUUGCCCGGGUCCCACCUAGAAAAUCUUAAAAGCCAGACCCAAAAGGAUCUAUUUCCAAGUAAUGUAGUUGCAUUCCAGAAUAAAGCUGAAGAGUAUCGAUAGGAAUACAAGAACUUCCAACAUUCAACAGCAGUCAUACAGAGAAGCAGAAAAGUAUGACCCAUAAAGGAGAGUUAAAUCAAUCAAAAUUGGCCUGGAUCUGAUACAGACGUUAGAAUUAGGAGACCAGAACAUUAAAGUACAAUGAUAAUAACUGUAUUCCAUAUGGAAUUCAAAAAGUUAAGUAGAGGCAUGAAAUGUAUAAAAAUGACACAAGCCAAACUCCUACACAUGAAAACUACAACGUGUGAGAUGAAAAAUACAUUGGCUAGGAUUAACAACAUAUUUGACAUUGCAGGAGAAGAGGCUGAUACAUUUGAAGACAUAGCAAUAGAAAUAAUACAAAAUGAAACAUACACGGAGAGAAAAAUAUGGAAAAAAAUGAACAGAACAUCAUUGAGGGGUGGGACAACCACAAGGAGCCUGAAACAAAUAUAACCAGCAUCUCCAAAACAGCAGAGACAGAAAAAGAGUUGGAUGAAUAAUGGCCUCAAAUUUCCCCAAAUUUGACGAAAAUGAUAAACUCACAGAUCCAAGAAGCUCAGAGAACUCCAAGCAUAGGAAAAUGAAGAAAAGUACGCCAAGGCACGUAAGAGUCAAAUUGCUCAAAAACAAUGAUAAAGAGAAAUUUUAAAAGCAGCCAGACAAAAAUGACAAGAGGAACAGCCUGACAAAAUAAACAGAAAAGAUGUGGGUGACAGCACAUUUCUCAUAAGAAACAAUACAAGUGAGAAAACACUGGAGCAAUAUCUUUAAUGUUCAGAAAGAAAAAAAUUGCCAACCUUGAAUUCUUCGCCCAGUGAAAAUAUGUUUCAAAGAUAAAGGUCAAAUAAAGACUUUUUCAGACCACAAAAGUGGUUCCAUCAAGUGAACAUAUCAUAAAUUGCUUAUCCAUUUCUCUGUUGAUGGACAUUUAGGUGGUUUUCCUGUCUUUGCACAUUGUGCAAUGAUGUAAUGAGCAUCACGUGUGUGUUAUCUUCUGUCCACACGAGAAUUUUUCUAGGAUUUGCACCGAGCAGGAGAAUUUUGGGUCAUAGGUAAGUGCAUCUUCAGGUUUACUUGUAUUGUCAAAGUCCCUGGAGAGCCACCUGUCAGUACUGGUAUUGUCAGAUUUAAAAUGUUGCUUUCCUCAUGAAUCUGGAUGUUGUAUUCUGUUGCAAUGGUGUGUUUGUCUAUCCUGGUCCUGAUAUAAUGCUGUUUAAAUUACAUAGCUUUACAAUAAA